UAGGAUGUAGCUCAGUGGUAGAGUGUCUGCCUGAAAUGCACCAGGUUCUGGGGUUCGGUUCCCAGCAAUACAA
rnacentral:tRNA from 1 species